rnacentral:rRNA from 1 species
UACGGAGGGUGGCAAGCGUUAUCCGGAUUCACUGGGUUUAAAGGGUGUGUAGGCGGGUAUUUAAGUCAGUGGUGAAAUCUCCAGGCUCAACCUGGAAACUGCCAUUGAUACUAUUAUCUUGAAUCUUGUUGAGGUGGGCGGAAUAUAUCAUGUAGCGGUGAAAUGCUUAGAAUAUGAUAUAGAACACCGAUUGCGAAGGCAGCUCACUAAACAAGCAUUGACGCUGAGGCACGAAAGCGUGGGGAUCAAACAGG